rnacentral:rRNA from 1 species
UCCGGCAGCUAGCUCUCUGCAACUCUCACAUGGUGGCCCUCUGAAGCUAGGAAGGGCUGUGCUUGAUCAGUACCUGGAUGGAAGACCACAUGGGAAAGCUAUGUUGCUGCCAAAA